rnacentral:lncRNA from 1 species
GACCUCUCCUCAUCUCUGCACAGACGAGUGGCCGACUGUGGAGCCCAGGCUGUUCCUUCUGAUUCUGGAGCCUAGGCUGUUGCUUCCCAAUCUGGUGGUGAAUCCUCCAUAGUCUGAAAUGGAGGACUGCCCUCCCAGCUAAUUAUACCCUCCUUCCUGAGGAUCUGAAUUCAAGGAAUGGUCCUUCAGUUGUGUACAGAGGAUGACAGGGGCUUCACUGAUACAUUCUUCAGUGAACCAAGAGAUUUUCAUACUACCUCAGCUACUGUUUGUCCUCUCUGUUAAUAUCAGGCUGAUGUCCUCCAAUUCAAUUCUGACACUAUCUACCUGCAGGUAGCAUCAGAUCCCACACGCUGAAGGCUUAGUCCUCAAGACCGUUCCCAGUCCCUGCAGACACCAGUCACAAGCCCAGGCCUCCAGAACUUCUGAGCCAUUGGCUUCAAGUUCACAACCCCCUCUUUGAGUUUGACUAAUUUGCUGGAGCGGCUUAUAGAACAGGGAAACACUUAGGUUUACGAGUUGAUUAUAAAAGAUUAUCACAGAAGAUACGGAUGAAGAAAUGCAUAGGACAAGCUAUGUGGGAAGCGGAGCGAGCUUCCAUGCCCUCCCUGGUUGUGUCACCUUCCAGGAACCUCCACUUGUUCAGCUAUCUGGA